GGGCCCGCACAAGCGGAGGAACAUGUGGUUUAAUUCGAUGGUACGCGAGGAACCUUACCUGGGUUUGAACGUAGUUUGACAGUUGCCGAAAGGUGAUUUUCCAGCAAUGGACAAUCUACGAGGUGCUGCAUGGUUGUCGUCAGCUCGUGCCGUGAGGUGUCGGGUUAAGUCCCAUAACGAGCGCAACCCCUAUUUUUAGUUGCCAGCGGGUAAUGCCGGGCACUCUAAUAAAACUGCCAGCGUAAGCUGUGAGGAAGGUGGGGAUGACGUCAAAUCAGCACGGCCCUUAUAUCCAGGGCUACACACGUGUUACAAUGGUCGGUACAGAGGGCAGCCACUUGGCGACAAGGAGCUAAUCCCUAAAGCCGAUCUCAGUUCGGAUCGGAGUCUGCAACCCGACUCCGUGAAGCUGGAUUCGCUAGUAAUCGCAUAUCAGCCAUGAUGCGGUGAAUACGUUCCCGGGCCUU
rnacentral:rRNA from 1 species